CGGCAACAGCUCAAAUUUGAAAUCUGGCCCUCUCAGGGUCCGAGUUGUAAUCUAGAGAAGUGUUUUCCGUGCCGGCCCAUGUACAAGUCCCUUGGAACAGGGCGUCAUAGAGGGUGAGAAUCCCGUCCUUGACAUGGACCCCCGGUGCUCUGUGAUACACUUUCAAC
rnacentral:rRNA from 1 species